AGUGGUCUCUGCAGCUUCAGAUGGUCUGGCGCAUAGUUCUCUGCACAGCGCUGUUGGAGCCCCGAAAUGAUCCACCUCUCCUGUUUGGACAUGUGCUCAUUCUCUGGCUCAUAGAACAAGAACUGGAGUUUCUUAAAGCCCAGCUACUGUUUGUGAUGGCCAGUGAAUUAAUUUUCCAUGACCUCCAGCUGAAGUACUCAGCAUUGAAGAAGAACACUGGCAGAGAGUGUUGCCUGAGCACUUCCAUGCCCAAAGCAGCUGUUUUCAGAACUGGGUCCAAAUCCUGUGAUUUUAAGUGCUGAUUCCCAAAUCUGUGGGGUCAAGUGCCAUGAAACCACCUCAUGCAUCUCCAAGAAAGAAGCAGACAUCUCAAUAGGAAACUGCAUAGGAAAACCUGAAGAGCUAUUGAGGGGUUUAGAAGGCUUUUUCUUAGUUCACAUUAGAACUUUUUCCUUGGGUAUUGAAUCAAUGUGCAAGAAAAGGAUUUUCCAGUAGAGGGAGUCCGUGUUGUUACAAAGAGAGAAUGUCCCGCUGUAAUAAUGGACACCAUGAAAGAAGAAUAUUUUCUCUCUCUCUUUUUUAUAUUUUGAGGCAUUAAAUAUUUUCAGUUCUCUACUAAAUAUUCUACUAAAUUAUUAUUGACAGGAUUGGCAUGCAAAUAGUCUCAUAAAAGUUUUCUGCAGAAUAUGCUUCUCAAAAAAUGGUCAAAUUGGGAAGCACAGGGCUGAACAAAAUGCAAUAGUCAAAAAAAGUUAAACCCCCAAAUGAAGAAUUUUACAGUGAAAUAGUAUCCAGUGAAAAUUCUCCAAAAGAAUCUGUGUUUCCUGGAAGACAGCAUACAUUUUAACAACAACAACCAAAGAAGUUGUAGCAAAUACAAAGUCUAUUGCAAACUAAGACAGAACUGAAUAUAAUCACUAAAGCCAGCUCUUGUAAUACUUCAGUCUGUGGGAACCAUCAAGCCCAAAGGAAGGAUUUUAAUCUCUGAAAGCAAAAAUGUAACUAAAUAAACAUGCUUAAUUACACAAAAACUAUUUUGAAGUAGAGAAACUAAUAAAAGAAGCAGCCCCUUUUAAUCUGCUUCUUAAUAGAAAUUAAUUCCCUGACACAGCAAGAUGAUGUUUGUGCCGUCCUAGUAAAGGUAAAAAGUUCCAGCAUCCUCAGGUGAGAGCUCCCCUGCUAUUCAUGUGGAUCUUGGGAGAUACACUGCCUGCAAGGAAUAGCUACUCUAGAAGUGCAAAGACUUCUUUCAUUUAUUUCUUCCACCUGCAAGGCAUUCUGAAGGAAAAAAUCUGGGAUAACAGCCACAUUUUUAACACUGGGCAGAUGGUGGCUACGUAAAACUCCUGUCCCUGCCCACUGUCUCUUCCCUCAGACCAGCUUGAAGAGAUACUUCCAACAAGGCCCACAGGAACU